UCUGAGGGCGACGCGCUCUCGGCGCUGCGCCGCAGCCUGCGGGACCCCGGCGGCGUGCUGCAGAGCUGGGAUCCCACCCUCGUCAACCCCUGCACCUGGUUCCACGUCACCUGUGACCGCGACAACCGCGGCACCCGCCUGACAGACUAG
rnacentral:rRNA from 1 species